UUGUCUCAGUGGAAGUGCCAGCAGUUGUGGUGGCAGACUAUUCAGUUGCAGUGCUGGCUGCUGUGGUUGUGGGUUCAGUAGAGGUGGCAGUGGUGGCUGUUGUGGUUGUAGUCUCAAUGGAAAUGUCUGCAGUUGUGGUGGCAGACAGUUCAGUUGCAGUGCUGGCUGUUGUUGUGGUUGUGGGUUCAGAAGUGGUAGUGGUGGAUGAUGGGGUUGUAGUCUCAGUGGAAGUGCCUACAGUUGUGAUGGCAGACUAUUCAGUUGCAGUGCUGGUUUUGUUGUGGUUAUGGGUUCAGUAAAGGUGGCAGUGGUGGAUGAUGGGGUUGUAGUCUCAGUGGAAGUGCCAGCAGUUGUGGUGGCAGACUGUUCAGUUGCAGUGCUGGCUGUUGUUGUGGUUGUGGGUUCAGUAGAUGUGGUAGUGGUGGUUGUUGUGGUUUGUAGUCUCAAUGGAAGUGCCAGCAGUUGUGGUGGCAGACUGUUCAGUUGCAGUGCUGGCUGUUGUUGUGGUUGUGGGUUCAGUAGAAGUGGUAGUGGUGGAAGAUGGGGUUGUAGUCUCAGUGGAAGUGCCAGCAGUUGUGGUGGCAGACUGUUCAGUUGCAGUGCUGGCUUUUGUUGUGGUUGUGGGUUCAGUAGAAGUGGUAGUGGUGGAAGAUGAGUUGUAGUCUCAGUGGAAGUGCCAGCAGUUGUGGUAGCAGGCUGUUCAGUUGUAGUGCUGGUUGCUGUUGUGGUUGUGGGUUCAGUAGAGGUGGCAGUGAUGACUACUGUGUUUUUGGUCUCAGUAGCAGUGGCUACAGUUGUGGUGGCAGACUCUUUAGCUGCAGUGCUUAUUGUGGUUGUCAUUGUGGGUUCAGUAUAAGUGGUAGUGGUGGCUGUUGUGGCUGUUGUCUCAGUGGAAGUGCCUGCAGUUGUGGUGGCAGACUGUUCAGUUACCAUGCUGGUUGUUGUACUGCUGGGUUCAGUAGACGUGGCAGUGGUGUCUGUUUUGUCUGUAAUUCCAUUGGAAGUACCUUCAGUUGCUGUGGCAGACUGUUCAGUUGUAGUGCUGGCUGUUGUUGUGGUUGUGCAUUCAGUAGAGGUGGUAGUGGUGGCUGUUGUGGUUGUAGUCUGAGUGGAAGUGCCUACAGUUGUGGUAGUACUCUGUUCAGUUGCAGUGUUGGCUGUUGUUGUGGCUGUGGAUUCAGUAGCGGUUGUGGUGGUGGCUGUUGUGGCUGUUGUCUCAGUGGAAGUGCCUGAAGUUGUAGUGGCAGACUGUUCAGUUGCAGUGCUGGCUGUUGUUCUGGUUAUGGGUUCAGAAGAGGUGGUAUUGUUGGCUGUUGUGGUUGUAGUCUCAGUGGAAGUGUCUACAGUUGUGGUGGCAGACUGUUCACAUUCAGUGCUGGUCGUUGUUUUGGUUGUGGGUUCAGCAGAGGUGACAGUGGUGGCUUUUGUUGUUGUUGCCUCAGUGGAAGUACCUGCAGCUGUUGUGGUGAACUGUUCAGUUGCAUUGCUUACUGUUGUUGUGGAUGUGUAUUCAGUGGAAGUGGUAGUGGCGGCUGUUUUGGUUGUAGCCUCUGUGGAAAUUCCCGCUGUUGUUGUGGCUGUGGCUUCAGUUGAAACGGUGACUGGUGAUACUGAAGUUGCAACUGAAGUGUUAUUGGAGGUCAUCGUGCUGGUAGGUUCUAUAGAAUUGCUUGCAGUGGUUCUUAUAAUAGUAGGUUUAGGUGAAGUGGAUUUUGUGGUAGAAUUUAUUAUAGUAGUGGUAACAGUAGGUUGAGAAUCUGUAGAUGAGGUUAUUCCAGUGGCAGAUGAGGGUGUUCCAUGGCUUUGGGGAAACUGGAUAACAACGGAGGCGUUAUUAUUUUUCUCAUUAUAUACCAGGGAUACCAUGAGUACUCCAAUUGCUGUUGUUAUCACACAGGCUAAGAGACAAGCCAGAAAGGUUUUCCAUAGAGACCAGUCACAGAAAAAAUUUCGUGUCACCUGGAAUGGAUUUAAGUAAAAUUACUAAAGAUGAAAAUAAAUAUUUUAUGAAAAAUUAAUGCCAUUGUUCAUCCUAUUUAUAUUAUGUUUUCUUCUAGUAACGUUAUAAUUACAAGUCUUACACUGAAGUAUUUUGCCAUUUUGUGUUGAUAUUUGUAUAUGAUGUGUGAUCAGAGUCCAAUUUCCCUCUUCUCCAGGUGGAUAUUCAGUUUUUC
rnacentral:lncRNA from 1 species